rnacentral:rRNA from 1 species
CCUACGGGGGGCAGCAGUGGGGAAUAUUGCACAAUGGGCGAAAGCCUGAUGCAGCAACGCCGCGUGAAUGAAGAAGGGUUUCGGCUCGUAAACCUCUAUCAGCAGGGACGAAAGAAAUGACGGUACCUGAAUAAGAAGCCCCGGCUAACUACGUGCCAGCAGCCGCGGUAAUACGUAGGGGGCAAGCGUUAUCCGGAUUUACUGGGUGUAAAGGGCGAGUAGGCGGCGAGGUAAGCCAGAAGCGAAAGGCUUGGGCUUAACCCGAGGAUUGCAUUUGGAACUGUCAAGCUGGAGUACAGGAGAGG